GCUAGUUAGCUAGCUAGUUUGCUGAAUAAGCCAUUUUUUGGUUUUAGGGAAGAGCACAUUUUCUCAGUAGUAGCUUGGAAAACAGCGCAGACUAUUAGGAGGUAAUUGCAUAAUUUGACGGAUUCAUGAAUUGUACGUUAUUGUUAAUUAAGCUAGCUAUUGUGUUUGCAACCAAGUUACUUAACGUUAGCUUGCUACCGAUAGCUAUGCAAAGUAGUCCUUACUGAAAUAACUGUCUGGAGCCGUUGCUAGGACUCUGUUCUCUGCACAAACGGAAUAGUGAAACAGGAAAGCCAAAGGCGUUCACCCUCCUAUAUUACCCGCUUUGUCGUGCAGUUGUUUCAGUCAUACUGGUGCUGCAGUUUGAUGUAACUGCCAUGUAGUAACCUCACCAAAAUUCCAUAAGCUGGGUGUUUGAAAAAAGGGUAAAUUAACACACACAGAUCCAGGCAAAGAUGGAAAUGUCAACACAGCAAUUGGUUUCUUACCUGUAUGAAAGGCUCCAUAUCAAGCUGUCUGAUGACAGCUUCCAAGACAUGUGGAACAUUGCUGGCUUCGUUGUCCUAUUCCUCUUCUGCUGCCUGAUCCUUACCUUGUUCAUGACUGCCUUAUUUAUCUCUUGCUUCGGACGGUGCUUUGAGAAACGACUAGACAAAAGGAACAAAGUGGCACCUUUAGAACCCACACCCUCAGCUCCAACAAUUGUGUACAUGGAUGGGCAAGAACCUGUGAAUAAGGCAGACGGUCAGAAAACAGAGGGGGCCCCUUCACGACCUGCAAAGAAUGCUGAGAAACACAAAAAAAAAAGGCAUAAAGACAAAAAGGCCACUAAAAAUGUUAAGUCUCAGACCCCAAGUAAGAAACGACAAAGUACAGCAAAAGUGGUUAAAAAGUAGGUUCAUUUUAGCUUUACACCUGCUAGUCCUGUCACCAUGUUUCCUAUUCAAAUAAAGCACAA
ensembl:lncRNA